UACGUAGGGAGCAAGCGUUGUCCGGAAUCAUUGGGCGUAAAGCGCGCGUAAGUGGCCUCAUAAGUCCGCUGUGAAAGUCAAAGGCUCAACCUUUGAAAGCCGGUGGAUACUGUGGGGCUAGAGUACGGAAGAGGCGAGUGGAAUUCCUGGUGUAGCGGUGGAAUGCGCAGAUAUCAGGAGGAACACCAAUAGCGAAGGCAGCUCGCUGGGACGUUACUGACACUGAGGCGCGAAAGCGUGGGGAGCGAACAGG
rnacentral:rRNA from 1 species